rnacentral:lncRNA from 1 species
AAUUAUUAAGUAUUUAUUUAAUAUCCUUAAUUAAAGCACUUAAAUAAAUACCAAAAAUGUUUAUAUAAGCAAAUAAGUUUUAACAAUUUUAAUGUGUAAAGGAGAUUAAAACAAACCUAAAGAAAUUUAUUUCACUAUUUUUGGGUACCUAUACAAUUUACAGUGAAUUAAAAAGUGUAACAGGUAAUUAAAUCUAUUUUUAAAAUCAAUCCAAACUUUAUCCGAAAAAAAACCCUUGAAACCUUUUUCUACCGGGCCUCUCCUACCUACCCUCACAGACUCGUGGGCCCCUUGGACCGGCCCCUCCUUCUAUUUUCUUUUAAACGGCACCCCCCCUUUUUAGCGGCUGACGGGCGGGCCCCCUUGGUCAGGGGCUUCUUCUUCCCCUGGCCAAGGUGGAGCGCGCGCCAGCAGGGACAAUGGCGCGGGGCCCCGGCCAACGGCGGCUCUCUGGCGGCUGAGCCAAC